rnacentral:lncRNA from 1 species
AACAAAGGAAGAAAAGAAAGAACAAAAACCCUAGAGUGAAAAUUCAAGAGAGAAUUGGUGGAUUUCAAGUAAUCAAGCAAUCAAAGGUAAAAUUUCUUGAUUUUGACUUGUGAUCUACCUUUCCCAUACAUUCUUUUGCAUUUUCCAUGGUUGAAUCACAUGAUUUCAUGAUGGGUCACUUGUUGGUUGAACACUUAGAGAGAGAUUUUGAUGGUUGUUUUGGUUAGAUUUUAAGAUAUUCUAGUGUUUUUAGUUGAUUGGUGAUGUGUAGCUUGGAAAUCAAGUAAGAAAUAUUCAUGUUCUUCCAUAACCCUCAUUGGCCGAAUUCUCCAUGUGGAAUAUUGAUGAUGAUUUUGAUUUUAUUUCAAGUGAUUUGGUUAGGAAUUAGUGAUUUAUGGUGUGAGAAUCAAGCUUGAAAAAUUAUAUUGUUGGUGAACCCUCCAUGGCCGAAUUUUCCAAGAGAAAAUGUGAGGAUGAUUUUGCAAGUUAUUUAAUUUGUGUUUGAUGAUUUGGAGUUGAAUUGGAUGUAUUGGCCAAUUAAUCAAGUGAUAGAUCAAAUUAGGCCAAUACCAUUUUAUUUAGGUACACAAUUGAAUUUGUGUAGAACACCGUGUUUAGAUGAUAAUUCGAACAAUUUGCAUUCCAUUUCAUGCAUUAGUAUAAAGCCUGAAUUGGUUUUAUAACAAUUUAGCACAAAUGUACUAAAUGGCUUAUUGUGCAUUAUGUCUAGGUGGUGAGCAUUCUAGCAAAAGUAAAAAGAUAGUACUCGAGGAUCAAGAAUCGAAGUACUCGAAAUUCGAUUCCCAUUACAGUGAGUAACCUUAUCAUCAUCUUGAUUAUCUGAAGUGAAUUUUCAUUCGUUUUUGUGAUUUUAUGGAAAAUGAGUUUAAAUGGUAAAUCUUUAUGUUUUGUAAGCAAAAUGUGUUUAAAUGAAAUGAUUUUAUAAAUUGUCUUGAAAUUGAAUGAUGGUUUUGAAAAUUGAGUAAUUUGAGACUAAUUGUUGUGUUAUAAAUUAUGAUUUUAAUUGAAUGGCUUAUGAUAAUAUUGGCAUGAAUGGUUGAAUUGGUAAAUGUGCUGAAAUUGUAUGAACUGUUGAUUUGCCUUGAGAGGCUGUAAAAUAAACUAAUUGCCAUGUCAUGCUAUCGCAAAUUUUAUUGUAUGGUGGGUUUAGCUUGCUGUAGUGGGCGGGUUCUGUGGACUAGCCUUUUUGAAGGGCACAGAAUCCUGUUAUAUUCUUACCUCGAUUGGGGAGGCGCGUUGGGUAACUCCCGAGGUACAACUUUAAAGUUCACUUCACGCCAAACCACCACGUGAGGGUGAACUCAGCCAACGCCAAGGAACGGCUAUGUUUUCAAAAUAAAAACAUGAUUUAUGCGUGCAUGAUUUUUUUAACAACCUUGGCGAACUCGGUUGGGAUAGCCCCAGGCUAAGGUAUCCCUGAUAACUGAGUAUGAGAAUGAUUUUGGCACGAGCCAAACUUUUCAAGAAAUCAUAAGCCUCGUUGUUUUUUUGGAUGAAAUGAAUCUAUUUUAUCUUAUUAAAAUGAGUUCAAAAUGUUGUGAAUCAUUUUUAUGCUAAUCUAUUUUAUCUGUCUCCAUUUACUGAACUUUAGAUAUUUUAGAUGGUAUUUGUUUACUCACUGGGAUUAUAUAAUCUCACCAACCUCCUUUCCAUCCAUUUCAGGCUUAGGAUAGUCGGUAAAUAGCUCAUUUCGUUG